UUGCUGAAAAUUCACCUUUAUUUCAUUUUUUUUCUUUUAUGUUUUAAAUUUUCACUGUUUGCCAAACUUGUUGGUCAAUUUAUUCUCUAAAUUUUUUUGCAACCGAUACUUGUUGGCCAAUUUGCAUCAUUUCACUUUUUUCUUUUCUUUUAAUGUUAUAAAUUUUUUGUUAUUUUUUAUUUGUAAUUUUUUAAUGUACACUAGUUUAUAUGCAAU
rnacentral:lncRNA from 1 species